rnacentral:rRNA from 1 species
AGCGAACGCUGGCGGCAGGCCUAACACAUGCAAGUCGAACGAACCCUUCGGGGUUAGUGGCGGACGGGUGAGUAACACGUGGGAACGUGCCUUUAGGUUCGGAAUAACUCAGGGAAACUUGUGCUAAUACCGAAUGUGCCCUUCGGGGGAAAGAUUUAUCGCCUUUAGAGCGGCCCGCGUCUGAUUAGCUAGUUGGUGAGGUAAUGGCUCACCAAGGCUACGAGCAGUAGCUGGUCUGAGAGGAUGACCAGACACAUUGGGACUGAGACACGGCCCAAACUCCUACGGGAGGCAGCAGUGGGGAAUCUUGCGCAAUGGGCGAAAGCCUGACGCAGCCAUGCCGCGUGGAUGAUGAAGGUCUUAGGAUUGUAAAAUCCUUUCACCGGUGAAGAUAAUGACCGUAGCUGGAGAAGAAGCCCCGGCUAACUUCGUGCCAGCCGCCGCAGUAAAAC